rnacentral:rRNA from 1 species
GACGAACGCUGGCGGCGUGCUUAACACAUGCAAGUCGAGCGGUAGGGCCCUUUCGGGGGUACACGAGCGGCGAACGGGUGAGUAACACGUGGGUGACCUGCCCUCAGCUCUGGGAUAAGCCUGGGAAACUGGGUCUAAUACUGGAUAUGACUCCACGGUGCAUGUCGUGGGGUGGAAAGCCUUGUGCGGCUGAGGAUGGGCCCGCGGCCUAUCAGCUUGUUGGUGGGGUGANGGCCUACCAAGGCGACGACGGGUAGCCGGCCUGAGAGGGCGACCGGCCACACUGGGACUGAGACACGGCCCAGACUCCUACGGGAGGCAGCAGUGGGGAAUCUUGCGCAAUGGGCGAAAGCCUGACGCAGCGACGCCGCGUGAGGGAUGACGGCCU